rnacentral:rRNA from 1 species
GAUGAACGCUAGCUACAGGCUUAACACAUGCAAGUCGAGGGGAAACGGCAUCGAAAGCUUGCUUUUGAUGGGCGUCGACCGGCGCACGGGUGAGUAACGCGUAUCCAACCUGCCCAUCACUUGGGAAUAACCUUGCGAAAGUAAGACUAAUGCCCAAUGACAUCCCACGAAGGCAUCCGAAUGGGAUUAAAGAUUUAUCGGUGAUGGAUGGGGAUGCGUCUGAUUAGCUUGUUGGCGGGGUGACGGCCCACCAAGGCAGCGAUCAGUAGGGGUUCUGAGAGGAAGGUCCCCCACAUUGGAACUGAGACACGGUCCAAACUCCUACGGGAGGCAGCAGUGAGGAAUAUUGGUCAAUGGGCGAGAGCCUGAACCAGCCAAGUAGCGUGCAGGAUGACGGCCCUAUGGGUUGUAAACUGCUUUUAUAAGGGAAUAAAGUGGGUCACGUGUGACUUUUUGCAUGUACCUUAUGAAUAAGGACCGGCUAAUUCCGUG